GAUGAACGCUGGCGGCGUGCUUAACACAUGCAAGUCGAACGGUGAAGGCGGAGCUUGCUCUGCUGGAUCAGUGGCGAACGGGUGAGUAACACGUGAGCAAUCUGCCCCUGACUCUGGGAUAAGCGCUGGAAACGGCGUCUAAUACUGGAUACGAGCUGCGAAGGCAUCUUCAGCAGCUGGAAAGAAUUUCGGUCAGGGAUGAGCUCGCGGCCUAUCAGCUUGUUGGUGAGGUAAUGGCUCACCAAGGCGUCGACGGGUAGCCGGCCUGAGAGGGUGACCGGCCACACUGGGACUGAGACACGGCCCAGACUCCUACGGGAGGCAGCAGUGGGGAAUAUUGCACAAUGGGCGAAAGCCUGACGCAGCAACGCCGCGUGAGGGACGACGGCCUUCGGGUUGUAAACCUCUUUUAGCAGGGAAGAAGCGAAAGUGACGGUACCUGCAGAAAAAGCGCCGGCUAACUACGUG
rnacentral:rRNA from 1 species